GUUUAAAUCGGUAUGAUGGCCUGCCUGCUUACAUCUUUGAAAUUCACAGAAUCUUGACAAAUUGUGGUGCAUCUGCUCGUGGGCCAUCGAGUGACCGGUACAUAUAAAGCGUAUUGACAAAAUCGCCCCUCUCGCCUCCUUCCUCCUCAUCCCUGCGAAAAACCUCCACCACUAAUUUCGGCAAUCUUCUAGCAACUUCCAAACAUCCUUGUUUAGUCACUCUGCAUGACGACAGCCAAACAAACCUCAUAUUGUAAAAAUGGUGCAAACCCGACAGUAAACCCGAGUCCCCAAACGGGCUAUCUCUGAUUUCAAGCUUUUGCAGAUUUGUGCACCCUUCCAACACGUAUUUUAGCCCGGUAUCACCGUCUGCAGCAAAAGCCACAGAUAAUGUUCGCACCAAUUUACCAUAUUGCCCAAUGUAACUAAAGGCUCGAUCGGUUAGCAAACCAGAAACAGCUAACCGAGUCAGUUUCUUACAGUUCUUGACAAUGGCUCCGAAACCCUCGUCCAUGGGUUCACCCGUGGCCCGAUCGGGUCGAUACCGGCCUAUUAUACAAAGACGAAAUACCACAAGAUCCGGGCAGUUUUUGGACAUGGCGAUAACCGCUGCAUUUGUCAUCUGUUGACAAAAGUAAAGAACGGAUUCUAGUUUUCUACACCCUAAAGAAAUUGCAAGAAGACCGACUUCAGAAACGGGCCCCUCGGCAUUUUCAGAAGCAUCUAUGGGGAAUACACGAAGCUCGCGAAGAUCUUUACAUGUAUCUGCUACUGCUUGAAGUCCUUCAUCACAUAUUGAAUCAAGUGUCUGGCAAAAGAUAAAAUAUACAUAUUAAACAACUCUUUAAACCAUCAAUAAAGAUAUAGAGAUGCAUAAUAUGUGUCUAAAAGUUGUGUAAAGUACCCAAAAAACCCGUAGUUUAUGACAGUGGCGAAUAACGGCUUUCAGCUGCUGUGCAUCAAUGUUAGCAUAGCUAAGAUUCAAUGAGGUGAGAUUAGCACAGACCGGAUAUAUGGCUGGAAGAUAUUCCGGUGCAAGAUCCCGAAACCCUGAAAGACAAAUAAUCGAUCUGCACGCAGCAAAAGCAUGACCAUAAUCCGGUUCGUGAUUUUCGGCUUGUUGCUGACCGAUAACUUCCGGUAAACUGAACGAGCCGGUACCCAAAUCAGUCAACUGAGGCGCUCUCAAAGCCAACCGAUAAAGCUGCCCGAUUGAAACAUGACGAUUCAAUCUAAGCUUCUUUAGCAACGGCGAUCUCGCCACUAGUCUCUCUAAUGCAUCAAAAUUAACCGAUGAUUCGACACAAUCGAAACACAAAGAUUCCAAAUUGCUAGUCCCCUCCAUCGGAAAACAAGAAAUCCAAUCGAAUUCUUCAUCCAAAACCUCAUCUUCAUUCAGCUCAAGAACACGAAGAUUCCUGAUUCAAUGAUGACGUCAUCACAUAGAAUAAAAACACAAAUACAUCUAACUAAUUUCAAACAAAUAUACCAAAAUUAGCAAACUUUUCACGAACCCAAUACAUGAAAUCAAACCAAUUUCAGAUCAAGACACGAAUUUAACAAAAACAUACUAAAAAACAAAACCCUAAUCUCGAUAAAAUCAACCAAGAUUAGCUAACUUUUCACCAACCCAAUACUUAAAAUCAAACCAAUUUCAUAUCAAGACACAAAUUCAACAAAACCAUACUAAAACAAAACCAAAUCAGCCAACUUUUCACCAACCCCAUACUCAAAAUCAACCCAAUUUCAAAUCAAACAAAACCAUACUAAAAACAAACUGAAAAAGCAAAACCCUAAUUUACAUUACCUGCACUCACUAGCAAUAACUCCAAUCCCUCUAGCACCAAACCCAUCACAGCAAACCAAAACAAUCUCCUUGAAAUUCAAAAACGAGCGAGCAAUAAUACCCAGAUCAUCAUUAGUAACCGUCAUACGUUUCAAACAAAUCUUCUCAAGCGCACGAUAAGCCCCAGCCAUAGCGUGCGCCCACGGCGUGAAAUGCGCACCCCAAUCCGCCGGCAUUAAGCUAAAAUCAGCGAACCGGGGUUUCCCUUUUAACCAAACCGACCGGAUUCUCUUGAACCGGCCGGUCACACGAACCGGAGCCACACUGUAACAGUUUCCGAUAAAGAGGUCGGAUCUAGUGUGUGCUUCCGCACGGUGCCAUGAUUUGGAGACUAGUGAAACGGCGUUACGGUCACGCCGUGAGGUGCUGGUUCCGACAUCCUCGGACAUUUUUGAGGAUACCCACGUGAGAAAGAUUUGUGGGAUUUUAAAAAGAUUGAAUCUUGUUGUUGUUUAGAUCAAGAUUGGUGGGAAAGAGGGUAGAGAUGGGUGAUAAUAAUAGUAAUAAUAAUUUGGGGUUUUUUUAGUAAGAGGUUUGCAUAGGGAUUGUUUUGCAUGCUCUUGAAGUGAAUAAAAUCAGUGGGUGGCUUGUUC
rnacentral:lncRNA from 1 species